CAAUAGCGUAUAUUUAAGUUGUUGCAGUUAAAAAGCUCGUAGUUGGAUUUCGGAUGGGACUUGCCGGUCCGUCGUUUCGAUGUGCACUGGCCAGUCCUAUCUUGUUGUCGGGGACUAGCUCCUUGGAUUCACUUCCUGGGACUAGGAGCUGACGAGGUUACUUUGAGUAAAUUAGAGUGUUCAAAGCAAGCCUACGCUCUGAAUACAUUAGCAUGGAAUAACACGAUAGGACUCUGGCUUAUCUUGUUGGUCUGUGAGACCAGAGUAAUGAUUAAGAGGGACAGUCGGGGACAUUCGUAUUUCAUUGUCAGAGGUGAAAUUCUUGGAUUUAUGAAAGACGAACUUCUGCGAAAGCAUUUGUCAAGGAUGUUUUCAUUA
rnacentral:rRNA from 1 species